rnacentral:rRNA from 1 species
AUGAAGCCCCGCCACCUCCCGCCGGUCCUUGUACUCGCCUUGCUUUCCCUCCUCUCCCUCUCCCUCCGCCGCCACCUCACCCCCCUACAGCUGCCGCUUCGUCCCGCCGCCGGGGACCCGCUCCUUCGUCGCCUCGCCGCGGUGGAAGGCGUGGGAUCCGAGCAAGUCCUCGCCGACGCGGCUGCACUGCUCGUGAAUGGCUCGAUAUCCACGUUCCCCAGCCUUGGCAACCGCCAGCGCCUCCUCUACCUCCGCCUCCCGUACGUCCGCUCCGCCCGCGGCCCGCCGAGGCCGAGGACCGUGUCCCGCCUCCGCAUCCCCGCCGAGGCACUCCCCUCCGACGAAUCCCUGCUCGCGUCCUUCCGCACGUCUCUCCACUCCUUCCUCCUCGCCCACCACCGCCGCCGCCGGGGCGGAACCGGUAAUGUGGCCAGCGUCAUGAGCGAGCUCGCCGGCGUCCUCGGGCGGCGCUUCCCGACCUGCGCGGUCGUAGGGAAUAGCGGCGGGCUCCUCGGCUCCGGCCGCGGACCGCAGAUCGACGCGCACGAGCUCGUCAUCCGCCUCAACAACGCACGCGUGGCCGGCUUCGUCGCCGACGUCGGCGCCAAAACCUCGCUCUCCUUCGUCAACUCCAACAUCCUCCACCUCUGCGCGUCCCGCAGUGCCGCCACCGCCGCAGGCUGCGGGUGCCACCCGUAUGGCCCCACCGUGCCCAUGGCCAUAUACAUCUGCCAGCCCGCGCACCUCCUGGACGCCCUCAUCUGCAACGCAACCGCCACCCACGCCUCCCCAUUCCCGCUCCUCGUCACCGACGCGCGCCUGGACGCGCUCUCGGCGCGCAUUGCCAAGUACUACUCGAUCCGGCGAUUCGUGUCGGACACGGGUGCUCCGGCGAGCAACUGGACCCGGAAGCACGACGAGAGGUACUUCCACUAUUCGUCAGGUAUGCAGGCGGUGGUGAUGGCGCUGGGGGUAUGCGAGGAACUGAGCCUAUUCGGGUUCGGCAAGCCGGCAGGGGCCAAGCACCAUUAUCACACGAACCAGAAGAAGGAGCUGGACCUGCACGACUACCAGGCGGAGUACGAUUUCUACGGCCACCUCCAGGCGCGGCCGGAGAUGGUGCCGUUCCUUGACGAGGCCCAAGGCUUCACGGUGCCGCCGGUCAGGUUGUACUGGUGA